UUCGCCUGUUUUUUUCAAAACAUGUCUGUAUGUAGUGUAUAUAGAGUCUGGCCUGCCCACUGAAAAUUUUUAAAGGGCCGCGGUAAUUUGACCGUGCGAAGGUAGCAUAAUCAAUAGUCUCUUAAUUGGAGGCUGGAAUGAAUGGUUGCACAAAAAAUAAUCUGUCUCAGCUGUAGGAGUAGAAUUUUACUUUUGAGUGAAAAGGCUCAAAUAUAUUAAGGGGACGAUAAGACCCUAUAAAACUUUAUAUAAUAAGGUUAAUUUUUGAAUUUUGGUGUUAAAGUGAAUUAGUCUUUAUUUAUUAUGUUGGGGCGACAAGAAUAUAAAUGAGUAACUGUUUGUAAAUUAAAAUAAGUAUGUUUAGAAGUGUGAUCCUUUUUUAGGGAUURAAAGAAAAAGUUACUUUAGGGAUAACAGCGUAAUUUUUUCUGAGAGUUCUUAUCGACGAAAGUAGUUGCGACCUCGAUGUUGAAUUAAGAUUUCCCUGAGGGGUAGAAGUUUCAGUGGUGGGUCUGUUCGACCCUUAAAGUCUUACAUGAUUUGAGUUCAAACCGGUGUGAGCCAGGUUGGGUUUCUAUCUA
rnacentral:rRNA from 1 species